AGUCGCCGCUGGGAGGGUGCUCCAGACGUGUCGGCGCCUGCGGGCUGCGGCGGGCGCCUUUGAGGCUUCGCGCCCGGCUCUGCAGUACGCGGUGGCUCUGGGUGGGCGGGGCCGUACACCCGCGAUCGCCCCUCCAGGAGGGACGAGACUGUGCGGGUUACCUAGAGAAGUGGCGGUUCUAGGUUCUGGUGUGAGACUCCUUAUUUGUGCUGCAGGGGGGUGGAGAUGGACGCUGCUCCACUUAACACUGAGUUCUCGGUCUGGAAAGAGCCUGCCCAAAAAACAGCUGAUAAACGGAAGAAGGGGAUGGCCAAACAGAAGGCUUCCCGUGAAACCAAAAGACAGAAAUUGGAAGGUAACUUCUUUGCUGUGUUUUAAAGCACGAGACAAAACAUGGAGAAUUUCAUAUUAACGGAAUAGGCAUCUAUAGCUGAACCACCUGUAACUUUCAAACUGUUUGUUGGAAACUUGAAUUUCGACAAAACUGCUGCUGAACUAAAAACGGGUCUCAGUGAAUUUUUUGCUAAAAAUGAUCUCACAGUUGUUGGUGUCGGAGUUGGCUUGUCCAGGAAAUUCGGUUAUGUGAAUUUUAAAUCUGCUGAUGACCAGGGAAAAGCUUUGGAAACUUAGUGAGACAAAGGUCCUUGGCUAUGAAAUUAAAUUGAGGAAACUGAAAGGAAAGGAAGUAAAGAAAGAUAUGCAAACAAGUUGUAGGAUUGCGUAUAUCGACUUCAAGUCACAGGCUGGUGCAGAGAGAGCCUUGGACGAGAAGCAAGGAACGAAGAUCGGUGGGCUUGCUAUAGUUCUGGGCCAUGCUGAAGAGAAAAGCCAAGGCCAAGAAGGGAGAGACGAGAAACCCAGCACAUGGAGAAGUAAGGGAUGCUACAGCUCUGUAGACUUGAGACUUGCCAGGGUUGUCAGCAGGGUUCCCCAGAGAGGGGCUAGCAGGAGGAUGGGGAAACUUCCCUACAAUGUCUCCCUGUAUCAGAAAUGUGUAAGUCAUUCUCCUAUCAAGCAAAUGAGUAGUGUCCUAGUUAACUAUAACCAUGAAGUCUGCAAAAACAUGGCACUUUGAGAUCCAUCAGCUUAGCUCCCCUUCUUGGGUACCUUCUAGGAUUCUGUUUGGACAGGCUCUUAAACCUGUGGUUUCCGAAUUCGAUAUUUAAUUCUCUUCAAGUAGAGUUUUUGUCUGGUUUAAACCAGAGGCCCCAAACCAGUGUCCCUAAGCUGCCUAAUCUGAUGGGUAGACGUCAUGGCUUAUCUAGUAUCUACAGGAAAAAAACCCCACAAUUUAUUAUGAAUAUUUUUAAGAAUCAAGGAGUUUCACAUAGAAAUCUGGAUUUCCAGCUUCUUUUGUUGCGGCCUCAGAGAAUCAGUGCCCGGGGCUGUGUUCCUGCGUGUCUGCAGUCACCUGCACAGGAGAAUCAGAGGUGUCUUCUCAGCUGUUCCCUCAACAGCCCCCGCGAUUUGCUCAGUUCUCUCCUACUUUGAAGGAGUGAACAGCACACUUACACUUUGGAAAAAUAGAGUCACUACGUUUCUCUUGCAAAGUAGUACUUUUCUAACCGUAAAGGUGACAUUUUAAUAUUUCUUAUGGGUUUGUGUCUUUCAAAAGUGGGAAAACGAAAGUUAGAACAAGAAAGCCACACGUUUCAAGAAAAAUGGGAGUGAGCUUAUUUCUUUGUGCAGGUCAAGAACGUUCCUACAUGUUUAAUAUGCAAACAAAGUGUGUCUGUGUCGAAGGACUUGGACCUCGGACGCCAUUAUAAAACAGACCGAAAAGAUGCGUGAUAAAAAACUUAACGAGCUGAAAAAAAAGAAUGAACUUUCAACAGGACUUACUUUUGAAUGUGAAUAAAAUAAAUGACGCUGCUGUGAAAUGCAGUUAUAUGUUAAGUCGGAAAAUUGCCCGGGCAUCGAAACCUUUUACAGACGGCGAGUUUGCAAAGGAAUGUCUGUUGAGUGCAGCGGAGAUUAUGUGCCCCUAACAGAGACAAGCAUUUGCCAAUCUGAGACUAAGUGGUAAUACUGUUUCACAGUGUGUUGACUACAGGGCAGUGAAUUUACAGGACAAGCUGCAAGAGAAAGCUAAAUCAUUUGUGGCUUUCUCCAUUGCGGCUCAUGAGGCGGCCGAUGGAGCUAAUGCCCCCCAGUUGGCUGUAUUUAUUCGUGGUGUUGAUGGCACUUUCGAUGUGACGGAAGAACUUUUGGACAUGGUUCUCAUGACAGGCGCCACGUCAGGAAAUGACUUACUUGUCUGUGUUGAGGAAAGUCUUAAAAAAUUUAACGUAGACUGGUCAUAGUUAGUAAGUGUUAACACAGAUGGCAAUUCGGCACUGGUUGGUGUUGAACAGCUUGUUACAAAACUUAAAUCUAAAGUGUCAGGGCUUUGCAAAGACAUGGAACUGAAGUCCAUGCAUGGCCUCAUUCUCUAGGAAUCAUUUUGUGCUAAAAAGUUAAAAAUGGAUCAUGUCAUAGACAUAGUGAUUCACAGCAUAACCCGGAUCCGGUCCCAUGGCUCAGACCACAGAAAGUUCAGUGCUUUGUUCAGCGAGUUAGAUGCACAGUAUGGAAGCCUGUCUUGCUCCAUGGGACGCAAGUGGCUGAGUCGUGGCAUGGUGCUCAGGCGGUUUUUUGAACUGUUGGAAGAAAUUGAUUUUUUUCAUGUCUUCUAAAGGAAAAUCGGUUCCUCAGCUUACUAGCAAAGAUUGGGUCAAAGAGUUAGCCUUUUUGGUUGACAUUAUGACCUACCUAAACACGUUGGAUAUUCCUCUGCAAAGGCGCUCACGAGUGGUUACACAGAUGUACGAUUCAAUUUGCUCCUUCCUAACGAAACUGUGUCUUUGGGAAACUCAUUAGGCAAGGAACAAUCUGGCCCACUUCCCUGAGCUGAAAUUAGUUUCUGAAAAUGAAAGAGAUGGCCAGAACUAUAUUUCCCGAAUUAAAGAGUUGAAGACUGAAUUCCAAAAACAGUUCUCUGAUUUCCAAUUUUAUGAAAACAAGCUGACGUUUGUUUCAGAGUCCACCUUUCUCGAUCACCAUUAGUAACGUGAGCGAAGAGCUACAAAUGGAAGUUCUUGAAUUGCAGGGCAACACCCUACUGAAAAUGAAAUAUGAUGGUGUCGGGAUCCCAGAAUUCUACAAGUAUCUUGGGAGAAGUUACCCUAAAUAUAAAAACCACUGUGCAAAGAUUCUGUCCAUGUUUGGAAAUACCUACGUUUGUGAGCAGCUCUUUUCUGUCAUGAAACAACAUAAAACUAAAUAUUGCUCCCAGUUAAAGGACCCGGAGAUGAAUUCUCUGCUGCAGGUUGCUGCACAAGAUUCCCAGCCUUGACCUUGGGGCUUAAGAAGGGAAUGUCAGGUGUCAGAUUUCAAAUCUAAGGAGAAAGAAAUUAUGAGACUUUAAAUAAUUAUUCUACUUCCAAAUUAUAUUUGUUCAACGUCAAAUUUAAGGUACAAUCUCUGGCAUCCUAUGUUUGUAUUUAUCACAUAUGAAAUGAAGUUUGAUUAUACCUUGGCAGUUUAUUUUUCCUGUAUUUGGCCUUUCUGGCCCUUAGGGUGAUUCGAGUUGAUAAACCUCUGCCCUAAAAGCAGCCACAUUUUUCCUAAAGGCACUCAUGAGCCGGGGAUGUGAACCAGGGAGUGAGGGGAAUGGGUGGGAUGUUUAGAUGUCUAGCACAGCUCUGUCCCCAAGGAUGACAGACCUGCCGCUCUGAUCUUGAGACUCAGGCCAGUUUAACCAUCCCCCCACCCCCCACCCCCAACAGAGCGGGGACAGCAUAACCAAUACUCACCUCUGGGUUUCUUUGGUGUUUCCGUUUUGGAUUUACACCUUUCUUUGAAAUUUCAACGUUGGUUAGCGUUAGAAUAAAUUGUGGCUGGCCCCAAAGCCAUUCUGCCUCCUGUAGGCAGGGAUGGGCAUUUUCUUGGCAUCCGGGCCACCCCAGGGGGAUGCAGAAUGAGGCCCAUAGCUACCAUCAGGGUUUUAAAGAGCUCUGUGACCCAAAAGGUGUUUUUCCACUGUGGAACUGGGACAGGACUCUCACUGUUACAGAAACUGUUAUCUUGAAAAAUCAGUCCAAUUAUAAAAGUGAUACAUACUUAUUGUAGAACAUUUGGAAACUAUUAAGAAAUAGAGGGGAAAAUCUAUAAUCUCAACAACCAGAGGUUACCCCUGUAAAUAUUUAGGUAUGUUUGUUUCUUUCAAUUUCCUCUGUGUUAUUUUAUAUGGCUGAGUGCAUUAAGUCUGGAUCGUUCUGUAAUCUGCUCCCCCCUCCCCUCCUCCCUCA